AAGCUGAAUGUGAGAAUUGGAUGGGGCCAAAUCCUGAGCUUCAGAUCUUGCCAUGGCACAAGAUUUGGUUUCCUCCAGUAUCUCACCUUCAACUG
rnacentral:pre_miRNA from 1 species